rnacentral:rRNA from 1 species
GAUGAACGCUGGCGGCGUGCCUAAUACAUGCAAGUCGAACGAAACUUCUUUAUCACCGAGUGCUUGCACUCACCGAUAAAGAGUUGAGUGGCGAACGGGUGAGUAACGCGUGGGCAACCUGCCCAAAAGAGGGGGAUAACACUUGGAAACAGGUGCUAAUACCGCAUAACCAUAGUUACCGCAUGGUAACUAUGUAAAAGGUGGCUAUACUACCGCUUUUGGAUGGGCCCGCGGCGCAUUAGCUAGUUGGUAGGGUAAAGGCUUACCAAGGCAAUGAUGCGUAGCCGAAUUGAGAGGUUGAUCGGCCACAUUGGGACUGAGACACGGCCCAAACUCCUACGGGAGGCAGCAGUAGGGAAUCUUCCACAAUGGGCGAAAGCCUGAUGGAGCAACGCCGCGUGGGUGAAGAAGGUCUUCGGAUCGUAAAACCCUGUUGUUAGAGAAGAAAGUGCGUGAGAGUAACUGUUCACGUUUCGACGGUAUCUAACCAGAAAGCCACGGCUAACUACGUG